rnacentral:lncRNA from 1 species
AGGAAAUCUACAUGCAGAGAGUCCGAAGAGUGUUCCAGGUUGAGAAACCAGCACAUGCAAAGGCCCCAGGUGAAAGAGCGUGAAGCAAGGCCGACAUGCUGCACAGGCCAGGCCCACUGCAACCCGACCCAUGAGACCCAUGCUUUUCCCAGGCUACCUCCCUGCCCCUGGAGUUACAGGUUUGGAAUAUUCUGCAUGGACAGGGAGCUGGUGGCUGACAAUGAAUGGUUUUGCAGAGGUCUUCAGAGGCCUCAGUGGCUGACUUUCUGUGUGCCCGACCAGUUUGUCCUCUCGUCAGGACACGUCAAAACUUGCAGAGACCCUGGCAGGCACGGCUCCCAACUCUUCAUUGGACAAAAGAACAACCUAAGACUCAGAGCUGAGAAGUGAUUUUGCCAGGGUCACACAGCCAGCUUGGGGCAGAAUCGGGAUUCAGGGACCUGUCUCCUACUUCUAAUGUGUCCUCUCUCCAUUACACCAGACACG